ACACAGUUGAAGGAAAAUGUUAAAAAAACAAAUUCUGGUCAUACUUGUCAUCAUGAUGUUUGAAUACAGCCUGCAGCAAGGCAACGGACUAGGUUAUGGUGGACUACCUAGCUGGCUUCGUGGAGGUGAUAAUGGUGGUUCAGGAUUCGACUUUGGUUUUGGCGGUUUUGGUCCUGGAAAUGGCGGUAA